ACUCCCAACGACGAUGGGGCACUGCGGCCGCCAGAGACUAGACAACAUCUGGGCUGGAUUCCUUGGCCAUGACCUGCGACAUCCGAGCGCUGUCCCCGGAAGGGAGCCAGCUCCUUGUGCCCAGGGCCUCCCAAGCUUACUACCCAGACUUUAGGCGCGCGGCUUCUAAGGAACCCUGUGGCGCUGAGCAGAGCCCUUGGGUGCAAUUGUUUUUCAAUCUUUUGGGGUGCUAGCGAUUGGAUUGAGAUGUUAGGUUGUACGUUCGAGAGGAGGGGGUCUAAUGUCACAACUUUGAAGGUCACAGGAACCGCCAUUCAGAGAGCCACUUCUAGCGGUGUGGCCUAAGAACCGGAGAAAUUUAUAGCGGACGUGGGCCGCGUGAGGCCUCUGAGUCCUUGAACCCAGCGCUGUGCGUUCUGGAGAGCACUUUUAUCUCGGCCUGUUUGCUAAAGUGCACACCCAGAUGCCGCCCGCAAGACCGGCAAUGUGGAGUUUCUAUGAUUGUUUUAUAGUCCUACUGGUUUUAAAACUAGUUUACAAACCUUUUCUGAAUGGCAGCGCUGGAACGGUCCCUUUCAAACAUCUUGAUUUUACGUGCCCCUAAUAGGCCUGGGACUGGUCAGUCACGAAGUAACUCAGCAUCUCGAUGUUCGGGCAGGAAAGACAAAGGCAGAUGUGGUUCACAUGUGCGAUUCUAGCUGGGGUAGGAGGCUUGCCAUGAAUUCUAGUCCAUCCUGAGUGGCAGAGUGAGACACUGCUGUGAAAUGGGAAAAAGAAGCAGGUGCAGUGAACAGCUGGGCGGAAGCCCAACUCCCUUCACACCUCAGCAGAUACCUGUAGCAGCGGGUAGCCCCACAUUCUACGUCUGGCUUUAUCCACCUCCAGCACCAGAUGAUGCCACCCACUCACCCCUCUGUCUUGAAGCACAGGGAAGUAAUGGAUAGGAGGGAAGCCCGUGAGCAAAGGUGGGGGGCUGGGGGGGGGCUCUCGCCCUUUAGAGAGAUGGUUCUGGAAUGUGUUCUGUGCACUUCUCGGAACUCUCGGCGUAGUCUAGCCCUAGGGUCCUUGUGCUUAUUCCUGGGUAACGAAUUAGCAAAACCCUGUGCUUAAAUCAACAGAUCUUUAUUAUCUCCCGGUUCCCGAAGCAAGAUACACUGUCGGAGGUCUCUAAGGCUCUCCUUUUGAAAGCCCAGGGAAGAUCUUUCUUGCCUCUGCCCGUCGGCCCCGUCGUGCCCUUGUGGCUUGUGGACAAACUGUUCCAGUACCUGCCUGUGUCACGUGACCACUUACCUGGGUUUGUGUUUGCGUCUUGUUUUUCUCCCCUUAGAUGAUCACCAGUUCCAGCUUGAGGGUCUCUACUAAUUCAGAAAUACCUCACCUGAUCUUGGUUACUGCUGCCAAGACUCUCUUUCCAAAUAUGGUCCCCCUUCACAGGGACCAGCAGAACCCGACCCUCACCGCAUUCUGCUCACCAGAGAUGAAAAAUGGAAAUUACUUAAAAUAAAAAUGGUUACCUUAAAUGGACAAUAUUGACACUACUGUAUCACUCUAAACAAAGCUAGGCUUCUUGAGGGAGAUCCUAAGCCUGUGUUGACACAGCCUUUGGUAAAUGAGCUGAGAAUUUAACUUUUGAUACAGGCCACAAUCCCAACUGGGCUUUUCCCACAGAGAUGUUUAUAAAUAGCCUCAGGUGUUAAUUAUUAAUACAUAUAAAACAUUUAUUAAACACUUUAUUUAUGCCAGGCGCCUGUGCCAGGCCCUGGCAAAGCCAAGAGGAAUCCGGCACAGACUUAGCCCCUGAGGAACUCCUGGUCCAUUAGGCAAGGGCAGUAACUCACAAGUGUACCCAGGAGCACUUAUUAACACCUGCUGUAUGCAUAACACAACCUGGUUUUGAGGCCCUUGCUCUCGUCCCAUCUGUAAUCUGAUUGGGCUGCCCGAGGCAGAGUACAUAAACACAGGAGCCAUUGCUGACCGCUUCCAUGGGGGCACUCAGACGGCAAACUGAGAUCUUUUCCUGACUCACCCAGUUUUCUUCUGACCACGUGGUUCAUGGCUCUCUGUGGGCCUCCCUCUCUUUCUCUGUAAGGAUGAGCUAAUGAUGAGACUCAGUGGGAGAAAGCAUUUGCUCUGCAAGCCCGGUGGCCUGAGACCAAUCCCCAGAACCCACGUAGACGUGGGAGGAGAGAACUGAUUCCACGAAGUGGUCUCUAACUGUCACGUGUGAACUUCACGUGUGCCGCCUCCCACAGCACGCAUAUGUAGACACCAUAAUAAUAAAUAAAUACAUUUAAAUCGAGCAAAUGAAAUGAGAGGAUGGAGGGAUUGGAAAUGGAGUUCAGGGGGACGGGUGCUUGCUCAGAGUGCAAGGUCUCGGGUUCAGUACCUGGUAUAGAAACAGAAGCUGGUGUAGAGGCGCAUGCCUGCAAUCCAAGCACCUGGGAGGUAGAGACACGAUGACUGGCUACGGAGUGGGUUUGAAGCAAACCUGGGAUACAUGAAAUCCAAGAUUCAAAAAGAAAACUAGUCCUUUUCUUUUCUUU